UUUCUUGAUCAAGUCAUUUGAAUCUGACCCUCAGAUCAGAGAUCCUGAAUUGCCCUGGUAUUUGGAUGGUCCGACACAUCCGGUCAACAGUCCUCUUUCCUUAUGAUUUAAUCUUGUUAUAUUUAUGAAAUAGAAUUUGAUAAUGAUUUGAUAUUUUAAAUAGGAUUAGCUGAUUCUUCUAACGAAGUCUGAAGAUCUAAGAUGAACGAGGUAAGUAGAUCUUAUACUCCUUAUUUAUUUUUAAAUGAUCAUAUUUUUAUGUAAAGAAUUGCUAUUGAUGAAAUCAUAAUUUUUUAUAAAAUAAAGAUCGGCAUAUGUGAUAUGAAAAAGCAUGUUUUAUUAUGAGCAUUGAUUUCAUGAAUAUGUCUUAUGAAAAUAGCAUGAUUAUGAAGUAUGAAUUUUAUUAUUUUUUCAUCUAUAUAUAUAUAUGCUUUAAUAAAAAAAUAUAAUGAUUUCAAAGGCUCUCAGAUGGCUAUGAAUGAAUCCCUUCGGGAAGGUCGACAUCCGGAGCUAGCAUCCACACGAAACAUGGCCCUGCCAGUAGGUAUAAAGUUGGCACAUGAAUUAAGAACUCUGUCGAUUAAGAAACAUGGCCCUGUCACGGGUAUAAUAGUGACCUUAGCACGAAUAUCUGUGAGCAAUAUUUUGAAACAUGAAAUGAAUACAUGAUGAAAAUGAUUUACGAUUCAUAAUUGUGAAAUAUACAUGAUUUAUGCAUGCAUGAUGAGCUUAUAAUUUAUUUUAUUAUAUGUUCUAUGAAAUAUUUAUUUUUACAAUAAUUGUUAUUUGCUAAAUGAUACAUUAUCAUAGAAAACU
rnacentral:lncRNA from 1 species